rnacentral:miRNA from 1 species
UUGAGCAAUGUUUUAAUGCA